rnacentral:sRNA from 1 species
AGAUAUCUUAGAGACUGGUACUACACUUAAGUCAAUUACUGAAUUAUUACAAUCUAGAAAAGUUAAUUCAUUAGAAAUAGU